UAGCGUAUAUUAAAGUUGUUGCGGUUAAAAAGCUCGUAGUUGGAUUUCUGUUGAGGACAGGCGGUCCGCACUAUGUGCGUGUAUCUGUUUUGGCCUCGGCAUCCUCUCGGAAAACGCUACUGCGCUUGAUUGCGUGGUGUGGAGUUCGAGACUUUUACUUUGAGGAAAUUAGAGUGUUCACGGCAGGCAAUCGCCUUGAAUAUAUUAGCAUGGAAUAAUAAUAUAGGAUCUUGGUUCUAUUGUUGGUUUCUAGAGCUAGGAUAAUGAUUAAUAGGGACAAUUGGGGGCAUUCGUAUUAACGCGUC
rnacentral:rRNA from 1 species